GGUUCGAGGUGGAAGUGUGGUGACACAUGGAGCUGACGAAUACUAAUCGAUCGAGGACUUAACCAAA
rnacentral:rRNA from 1 species